GACGAACGCUGGCGGCGUGCUUAACACAUGCAAGUCGAACGGUGAAGGGAUCAGCUUGCUGGUUCUGGAUGAGUGGCGAACGGGUGAGUAACACGUGAGUAACCUGCCCCCUUCUUCUGGAUAACCGCAUGAAAGGGUGGCUAACACGGGAUAUUCUGGGUCUGUCGCAUGAGGGGUCGGGGGAAGAGAUGGUUGCGGUGGGGGAUGGGCUCGCGGCCUAUGGGCGUGUGGGUGGGGGGAUGGCCUACCAUGGCGGGGACGGGGAGCCGGCGGGUGAGGGUGGACGCUCACAGUGGGACUGAGCCACGGGCCAGACUCCUACGGGAGGCAGCAGUGGGGGAUAUUGCACAAGGGGCGCAAGCCUGAUGCAGCGACGCCGCGUGAGGGAUGGAGGCCUUCGGGUUGUAAACCUCUUUCGCCAGUGAAGCAGGCCUGCUCCUUGUGGGUGGGUUGACGGUAGCUGGAUAAGAAGCGCCGGCUAACUACGUG
rnacentral:rRNA from 1 species